rnacentral:sRNA from 1 species
GCAGGGGCUGCAGCAGGGGCUACAGCAUGGACUGCAGCAGGGACCACAGCAGGGGCUGCAGCAAGGAUAACAGCCGCCACCACACAUCCUGUCGCCGAAUAGUCGCCCCUUCUUCACGGAAAUAGGUGCCGGUCCUGGUUUUGGGGAAUACUUUCUUUGUACUAUCCCUUUGAAGACAUUCUACAAGAAGAACCUUAAGUUUUGGAGUAUAUUCCAAAAAAAAAACUAUUAAAA